rnacentral:RNase_P_RNA from 1 species
CGAGUCGGGCGGACGGUCGCGAUACCCACCAGGUGUCGAGGAAAGUCCGGGCUCCACAGGGCAGGGUGGUCGUUAACAGCGACCCGGGGUGACCCGCGGGAAAGUGCCACAGAGAACAGACCGCCUGCUUCGGCAGGCAAGGGUGAAACGGUGGAGUAAGAGCCCACCAGCGGCCGGGGUGACCCGGUCGGCUCGGCAAACCCCACCUGGAGCAAGGUCAAGAGGGAGAGGUCGUUUCGGCGCCGCUCCUGCGCAGGCGUUCGAGGGCGGCCCGCCCGAGUCUGCGGGUAGACCGCACGAGGCCAUUGGCAACAGUGGUCCUAGAUGGAUGACCGUCGCCUCUUCGGAGGUACAGAACCCGGCUUACAGCCCGGCUCGUCCC